AUGGUAGGAUAGAGGCCUACCAUGGUGGUAACGGGUAACGGGGUGUUAGGGCACGACACCGGAGAGGGAGCCUGAGAAACGGCUACCACAUCCAAGGAUGGCAGCAGGCGCGCAAAUUACCCAAUCCCGACACGGGGAGGUAGUGACAAUAAAUAACAAUACGGGGUUCUUUAGGAUCUCGUAAUUGGAAUGAGUACAAUUUAAAUCUCUUAACGAGGAACAAUUGGAGGGCAAGUCUGGUGCCAGCAGCCGCGGUAAUUCCAGCUCCAAUAGCGUAUAUNAAAGUUGUUGCAGUUAAAAAGCUCGUAGUUGAAUUUCGGGGUCAGUAGGUCGGUCGUGCCACUGGUAUGAACUGGUUUUACUGAUUCCUCCCUCUUGAAGAACUGUAAUGCCAUUAAUUUGGUGUUGCAGGGAAUCAGGACUGUUACUUUGAAAAAAUUAGAGUGUUUAAAGCAGGCUUUAGCUUGAAUACAUUAGCAUGGAAUAAUGAAAUAGGACGUUUGAUCCUAUUUUGUUGGUUUCUAGGAUUGACGUAAUGAUUAAUAGGGAUAGUUGGGGGCAUUAGUGUUCAAUUGUCAGAGGUGAAAUUCUUGGAUUUAUUGAAGACUAACUACUGCGAAAGCAUUUGCCAAGGAUGUUUUCAUUAAUCAAGAACGAAAGUUAGGGGAUCGAAGACGAUCAGAUACCGUCGUAGUCUUAACCAUAAACUAUGCCGACUAGGGAUCGGAUGAUGUUAAUUUUUUAAUGACUCAUUCGGCGCCUUACGGGAAACCAAAGUGUUUGGG
rnacentral:rRNA from 1 species